GUGAGGAGCCGCCGUAAGCGCACAGCGCGAGCCUGCCAAGCGUGCGCCCACUUCACGGAGUGCGGACCUGCGAGCAGGCUUGCAGGCAUCUCCUGUAUGUCACACAUCCAAGGAGGAAACGCACCUGUGUGCAUCAGAGGGGGCUCUCCGUAGACUUCUCUCUUCCCACUGCACAGAGCUGCAGAGUUCUCUGGCAAACGUGGAAACAGAGGCUCACCGCCUCUUAGUUCUGCUUUUGCCCAUCUGGAGACUGGUCAGAGACAAAAGAUGUGAUGUGGGAAAGAGAGAGGACAUACACAAAGAGAAUCUGAAGCAUUUUAAGCAAGUCGUCAAUCCAUUUCUACUGAGGAGUAUUGGAUGUGCCCUGGGGAGAGGAAGCUUGAGUCUGGUCACCUGGUCCACAGUGAGUCCUCGUAUUGAUGCUGGAUGGACAGAGUGGACACGAUGAUGCCCCAGCCUGACACUUCAUGACUCCACGGCUGUGAUGCUUGGGCCACACCAGAGAUUCCAAGAUGGGAGAGUCCAUCCAUCCUUCAGCUGAAGUGAAAUCUUGGUCUGCAGUGGGGAGGGGAGAGAGCGGAAGAGGAAGCACAGAGAAGGAACAAUAUGUGAAGCCAGUUCACAUCUCAGUAUGAAGAAACCCACCAGGCUCAAAUUCACUGGAAACCCAAUCUGGAGUAUUACUGUAUCCACAGCAACCACAGCAACUAUAACCACCACCAUCCCGACCACCACCACUGCUACCAGCGUGGACCACAUCUGGUGCUCCCAUGGCUGGAAUCCAUCGGUGUUCAAAUCCCUAGGCUUCAUAUAGACACUGAGUACCUUGAGGGCAGGAGGUGAGUUUUAUUCAUCUAUGAAUCAGCCUGCAAUGGUCCCUAAGGAAGGUCUACGCACUCUUCUCUCUAUGGCUGUGGAAAUGAUGCAAAGCUGCGCAGUAUCUGAGGAUACCACCCGGUUCCACUUUCCAAGCUGGGCUACCAAACCCCAGGGGUAUCAGCAGUGGCCUCUUGCAAGGUAUUGGAACAAAUAUAUCCGGUUCAAAUCCUGACUCUGUCACGUACUGUGUGUCCUUGGGUAAGUCACCACCUUCUCUGAGCACGCAGCUCCUCAUCUGGGGAUGGAG